rnacentral:rRNA from 1 species
AUUUUGCUAUACUGGGCUGAAAGCACCUGAUCUCCUCUAAACUUGGAAGCUGAGCAGACUAGGGCCUGUGAACAGCCAAAUGGGAAAAUCACCUGAAAACAGGCAAAAGUC